rnacentral:lncRNA from 1 species
CGUGGCUGUGGUAGAGAGCCUGUUUUACAUGAGAGAGUGCUAUGAUAAAGCACUCCUACGUAAUGAGUAGUUUGAUGUGAUCAGAUUCCGCAUCAAAAUGGCCUCUAUUAUAGAGAGCCACUAGAUGCCUUGAGUGUGAUAUGACUUGCCAGACAAUGCUAUAAGUCUGGUGACAUGGCUUCUAGAGAAUCAAAGGCUUCUUCACUGGUGAUUGUGAAGAGAGUAUGAGACACGAGAAAGGCUUGGUAUUUGGUACCAAGGAGGCACGAGUGAUACACUCGACGAGUGGACACAAGGAUGCGAAUUAGAUUGGCGAGCUUGGCUAGCAGGAGCCUUCCAUGGGGCGGGUGGUGGAGCCAACGAGUGUAGCGGUAGCGAAACGAGCCCCGGAGUGCGUUCGUGACUCACUGAUGACGAUGGCUUCACUAGAGGUAGGACGGCUGAGCAGCUCGUUGUGAUGGUUUGAAGGUUGUUGUCCAAGUGGGAGAAUGUUAGAGUCCCUAUGUAUGUACAAAGCCUUCCUUGUAUUGCGGGUCGAAAGAGCCCACCCUCUGAGGUGUAUUUAUUGUGACCUGUGAGUCACCCAAUGAUCAUAGUCGUUCAACUCCUCUUCCGGGGUUUGUGACUGAUCGUCUUGUAUGUCCCCCUUGGAGGUGUGUGAGGUUGUGACCCAAGAGUCAAAACAUGAUCGAAUGUGGCUUUGGGCCACAACACGGUCUAGUAGGACCGUUGUGUGUCAAACUCCUCCUGGUGAACGAUCGCCGCAUAUGAAACUCCGGUGUGAAAGAAAGGGGCGAGCUUGCCUCAACCUGCUUCAGUGUGAGGAGCCCGCCCCGUCGGGGUGAGGGGCGAGCUCCCGGCUCCAGCUCGAUCCGGUGGUCUACCGCACGUCGCCGGUGGGAGUGCCUUUGGCAACUUCUCUAGCAUGAUGUUUGCAACUGCGUUUAAGACUAGCUCGACCGUGUGACAAGUGCCGUAAAAGAGGUCUUGCAGCCCUUCCGCACGCCUCGCUUCAGCUGUCCAGUUCUGUCCUUUCUGUGGUGCGGCACCUGGGGCCUUCUCUCUCGUCCAUGAUGCAUAACGCAUUUUGGGUAGUGGUGCUGCCCGAGCCCCAAGUUGGAAGCCCUCUAGCUAGGGGGACGGCCAUGAAGCUGGUCCUUUCAGACCAGUUUGGUACUUGCACUAAGACUGCCCCGGCAAUGGGUCGUGCCUCCCAGUUCACUUCAUCUGGCUCGGGUCUCGUUCAAGCCUUAAACCCAACUGCCUCAAACCCUUUGUUCUGACAGUCUUAGAGUGACUAC